CAGAGUUCCAAAUUCCUGGAGGAGAGAGGUCCAAGGAGGGGCCUCUGCCGCUGGGAGACUCCGGAGGUAGUGUGGCAUCUGCUGUUCUCCGACCUUGUCCCCCACAACACAGCCCAUCUUGGACGCCCGGGAAUGGAAUUGCAGCUUUUAAUGCCUCCAUUUUACACAUGAGAAAACUGAGAUUCAUUAAGUAACCUAAGGAGCAAGUAAAUGACAGAGGCAGAAUGAAAAUCCAGGUGGUUGAGUCCAGGUUCCAUGCUACUACUCCACAUGGGCUCUGAAGGGGCCUAUUUAUUGAACUCUGUAACCGUGUGGCCAAGUUCCUACAACCUGAAUUCUGAUUUGGAAUAACUCAGAGGAGCAGUGAAGAGGAGGCAGACAUCGAAGGGGAAACACCUGCAGCCAUGAAGCUGGACCAUGUCUUCUGUGACAAGGACAGCAACUUCCACACUUCCAGAAGAACGACCCUGAUCCCAGAACCCUGACAGAAGAGGCAAAGCAGCUUCAGAGAGCAGUGAGUUGUCUUUGAGCCAGGUGAUUAAACCCCUCUGAUUUUGCUGGCCCUAAUCAUAAUCCAACUGGUCUAGAUGCUACCCCUUGUGCAAGCCUAAGCUGGGAGCUUCCUGAGGAACUUCUGGGCCUCAGAGAACAUGGCCAGGAGCUUCCCAAAGCGUAUGAAUGGAGGCACAAUCCUGACAGUGCAGACUUUGGCUCCUGCCAUCAAAACUGGUGCAGUGCCCACUGCCCACCAAGACAGUCCCUGGGGCCAGCACCAACAAGGAGUCUCGCUGAGUAUCAGAGGCAAGAAAUAGGAGGCAACAGCCAUGCAGGUGACAAAUAGGCAAACAAGAGUCCAUUUUCCUUCCUUCUGACCAAGCUACCCUGAAUAUCCUUGUCCAGAAAUGAAGUGAGCCCCAGCCACCUACAGCCAGUCUUCAAGUGGGGGUGAUGGUGCUGUGGGAAAAUUCCCUGUGAUGGAACUCCAGAGUGCCCCUGUCCAGGACACAGUGACCAAAAGCUUGGUAAAACCAAGGGCCAGCGGACCAGAGUCCCUCCCUCAGGGAACCCCAAAACCAAAGACCUGGAGCUCUGACAAUAGUGAGAAGAGCAGAAACAGUUCUUCAGGGAGGGAAGGGCCCCAGAUGGCCAACUCAGCCCCCAGCUUGGGUUCAAACCCUACUGGGAGGGAGUGAAUUACAGAGAGUAACCCUUGGCUUAUCCUGACCUGUUCUCAGGUGUCAAAGGCUUCUCCCAGGUCAGACAUCAUCCUUCCAGUUCCCUCUACUCUGGACACCAGAUUCCCUAGACGUCAAGCAGCAGACUCAGUCCCAACAAGCAACAGGGAUCUUGUUUCCCAAUGCAAGUAGAAAAGAGGCUGCAUGAAGCACCGCAGCUCAGAAGCCCAAGAAGUGGGUCAUGGGCCUCCGAAGCACAAUCCUUCUAAUCAAUAGUUCCCACCACCUCCUGGGAAAACCUAGUCCGUGAGUAAAACCAGAUGCAGGCCUUGGUGGGCAAGGUCCUGAUGGAGUUGCUGAAGCAGGAAAGAAACGGCCAUGGACAUCACCAAGAUCAGCAAGAAUUAUUGCAGGAGCUGCAAAGCAGGAGCUUCCUGGGUCCUGUUGGCAACGAAGGCCCCCAGGAGCAAGCGGAAGGAGAAGCUGAAGGCUGGGGAAGGUGGAGAUGGUGCCGGUUCCCAAGAAAAUGCCUCUAGGAUUCCAAGGGGAAACAAAAAAGCAGUGCAAGUGGUAAUGGCAAAGAAAAAAAUGAAACUCCAGAGUGCCUGGAUGUGCCUGACUCCCACGGAUCCAAGGGCAAGCCAUAAGGGGAUUUGGGAAUGGUGAAGAUUAAGGGUGGAGGUCAAAGCAACCUGAAAACAAGGAGAAGCAAUCUAAAAAGGAAAGACAAAGGACAGCACAAAAUGGAAAAGAAGAAAGCAAAAAGAAAACCUUCAUCCAAAAUCCCCAAGACAUCAUCCAGGAGAAUAAGGAGAUGGCAGACAAGUAGGAGUUGUGAGGGGUCUGUGGCACAGGUGCAUAACCAAGUGGGGAGCAUCCUCAUGUCUCGGGCUGGAACUACAUUUUUAACUCCAGUCUCUCACAGCAAAGUCUGGCCAGACUCAGGGGCUGGAUGCUGGACACGCUAGUGAGCCUUAAGGGAGGCUGGUCCAAUAUGAAAGUGUAUCCUGAUCCCUUGACCUUACCCUACUUCGCCUAACACAGAAUGUUUUGUACAGAUGCGCUCAGUGGGUGAGUGUGUGUGUGUGUGUGUGUGGGUAGUUGUCAAAGCCAAUGUGCCCAAAAACCUCAGGACUUCCCAUUACCCUGUUUUACUUUGUCUCUGACAGGUCCUCAGGAUUUCUCCUUGGUUUCAGUUUUACCAUUGUGUGUUUUUUUUUUUAAGAAAUUGGAAAAAUCAUUAAAAGAAAAAAAGCAUUCAAUACAUUUGUCUAACUGAACAUUAGAGCUCAACAACACAGCACAUUGUAAAGAAUCACUUGCUUGAGCUCACGAUUUUUUGGCUGAUGAUGGGGAGCUGUGACUUGCUACCACCACCCAGAAUUGCGAGAGUAUCAUAACAUAGAUUAUGAGCGAUGGAAAAAUCACAAUUAAAACUGUGAAUAUGGCUUCCAUUGAAUAUGUAUAAAAUCUGUUCUGUGUAUCAGGCACAGGAAUGGAAACACAUGUAGCCAAUAUGCACAUGCAAGUGGAAACACUGGGAGGCCUACAGGGUUUGCACACACAGGGUUUGGAAAGAGAAGAGGAAAUCCAUGGGCUGGGAUAGAUACAGAAAUUAUAGCCUUAAGUGACUAUAUUAGAAUAAAAUACUAAAAAUCAGUCAUCACAAUUCCCUUUUAACAAUUAAAAAGAAAAAAACAUGAAAUUACAUAAAAUAAAGACGAGCAAAAAGAUAACAGGAGAUAUGAAAUGCUUUUUUUCGGGUUUCUUUAUACUCAGAAGAUUAACCCUACAGUAAGUAAAGAGUUCAACAAAUAGUAUGAGGAGAAAAAAAUUCCUCAACUACAGAGACAAGGGCUGUAAACAAUAAUCAAAGCUCAAGAUGUCAAUUUUACUCCUAUGGAAUACAUUUUAGAUGCUCUGUUAGUUAUGACAGAUUAGGGAAAACAUGGUAUUUGUCUUUUUGGGACUGGCUUAUUUCACUAGGGAUAAUGGCUUCUAGUUGCAUCCAUGUUGUUGCAAAAACAGGAUUUCAUUUUUUUUACCACUGAGUAGUAUUCCAUAGUGUAUAAAUGCCAUAAUGUGAAAUGCUUAUUAAAAAGUACCACAAACACAGAUAUACUUUUUAAUGUUAACAAAAUUAGUAAACCAUGAGUAAAAAUAAUUAAGGAAACACAGGGGGGCGGAGCCAAGAUGGCGGAAUAGUGAGGGCGCGCACCGAUAGUCCAGGAAAAUUUAGUUUAAUAAAAGGGGAGUUACGGUAGCCUCAGAAAAAAGAACCAGGAAAAUAUUGCAGAGGAAACUCUUCUGGAUUGAGUGGCCGUGAAUCGGAGGACCUACUGGGAGAACAAGGUCGCCCACCGCGCGGAAGCCGAGCCGCGGGACCGAGCCGCGGAAGCCGAGCUGCGGGACCGAGCUGCGCAAGCCACAGGCUCUGCGCGCCAGUGCUCAAAGGGGAGUGCAUGCCACACAGACAACAGCGGGGAGACUUGGAACGUCCAGGGCUCCGAGUCCACACAUCGGCGCUGGAAGGGGAGUGGACCUGCGUGGAGAGCGUGGGAGCCCACAGUUCGGGACACCAGCGGCAGACUCAACACACCAGCGCUGGAACGCGAGGUGAGCCGAACCUCAAUAGCUCGAGACACCGGCAGGCAAGUGGAGAGAGGAGACUAGAGGGAACGACCCUGGGGGGGGGGAACUUCACCAGGCUAACUGGAAGAGAGAGAGAGGAAAAAAAAAAAGGUGACUGGUAUGAACACGGGUUUCUCUCUCUCCGCUCACCUCUCAAGGGCGAGCAAGACAAAGAGCAGGCACCAUCUUGGACAUACGUCAUAAGCAGAGCGACCUCAGGUCUGUACCGGCCCUGAGCCUAGCAGAAAAACCUGACUCUGGGUGGGGCAAAUUAACAGGAGAUUAGGACCUAGUAAAUUUGUGGUGCUACUGAACUGAGACUGUGAAAAAAGAGACGGUGGGGGAGAGAACUCACGGAAUUCACAUGAGCACUCUCCAGAGAUGCUACAAUUCCGUAACUUUGGCAACCCAGUGGGAGACUGAAGGAGAAGUUGAGCCCACUCUGAGGGCCGAACAGAUUCCCUGUGUGGUCCUUGGGAAAGAGCUUCCGAUCUCUGGCUCCUGUGGGUAUAUCAUUUGCCUGCUAACUACCUCCAACUUCGUUCAGCUGUGCAGAAUAACUUCCCUUUUGAAUCAAAAAAAAAAGAAAGAGAGAGAGAGGGGUUUACCACGCCUAACCUGGGAGUGUCACCUUUGGCACACCAAACAGAGCUCUCAGGCCACAACCAUCUCAAGUCCUAAGGUUCCAUCAAAAACAGAUAGUCCACUUAAUCUAGAGUCAUAGUAUAACAAGAAAAAGCACCACAGUGAAGAAACCAAAUAUCUCCAAUAUGCCAAAUAACAAACGCAAAAACCAAGGUAAUAAAAACAAAGAAGUCACCAUGAAGCCCUCAAAUGAAAAAGACACCCCAAUUCAAGAUUAUGAAGAUGAUGACAUAGAAGAAAUGCAAGAAGCAGAUCUCAAAAAAUUGAUAAGAACAUUAAGAAGUUCUCAAAAACAAAUUCUUGAACUACAGAAAUCCUUAAUGGACAAGAUAGAAAAUCUCUCUCGUGAAAAUGAAAUAUUAAGGAGGAAUCAAAAUGAAACGAAACAACUAGUACAACAGGAAACUGGGAUAGUGACUGAAGUGAAGAAUUCAAUAGAUCAAAUGAAAAACACAAUAGAGAGCCUUACAAACAGAAUGGGUGAAGCAGAAGAGAGAAUAUCGGACUUAGAAGACAGAGAACAGGAAAGGAUACAGUCAGACCAAAGAAAAGAAGAGGAAAUUAGAAAUCUAAAACAUAUUGUCGGGAAUCUUCAGGAUACUAUUAAAAAACCCAACAUUCGGGUUCUAGGAGUUCCUGAAGGCAUGGAGAGGGAGAAAGGAUUAGAAGGCCUUUUUAGUGAGAUAUUAGCAGAAAAUUUCCCAGGUUUGGAGAAGGACAGAGAAAUCCUAGUACAGGAAGCUCACAGAACCCCUAAUAAACACGACCAAAAGAGAUCCUCACCACGACACGUUGUAAUUAAACUCUCCACAGUGAAACAUAAAGAGAAGAUCCUAAAAAGUGCAAGAGAGAAACGUCAGAUUACUCUCAGAGGAUCUCCAAUCAGACUCACAGCUGACUUCUCAUCAGAAACUCUACAAGCUAGGAGGGAAUGGCGAGAUAUAGCCCAGGUACUAAGAGAGAAAAACUGCCAGCCCAGAAUAUUAUAUCCUGCAAAGCUAUCAUUUGUGAAUAAAGGUGAAAUAAAGACUUUUCAUAGCAAACAGAAAUUGAAAGAAUUUGUUGCCACUCGUCCAGCCCUGCAAAAGAUGCUUAAAGAUGUGUUACACACAGAAACAAAGAAACAUGGGCCGGCGCCGCGGCUCACUAGGCUAAUCCUCCGCCUAGCAGCGCCGGCACACCGGGUUCUAGUCCCGGUCGAGGCGCCGGAUUCUGUCCCGGUUGCCCCUCUUCCAGGCCAGCCCUCUGCUGUGGCCAGGGAGUGCAGUGGAGGAUGGCCCAGGUGCUUGGGGCCUGCACCCCAUGGGAGACCAGGAAAAGCACCUGGCUCCUGGCUCCUGCCAUCGGAUCAGCGCGGUGCGCCGGCCGCAGCGCGCCGGCCGCGGCGGCCAUUGGAGGGUGAACCAACGGCAAAAGGAAGACCUUUCUCUCUGUCUCUCUCUCUCACUGUCCACUCUGCCUGUCAAAAAAAUAAAAGAAAUAAAAAAAAAAAAACAAAGAAACACGGUCAUCAAUAUGAAAGAAGGUAAAGGAAGGAAACCAAGGAAGGAAAGCUCACAGCAAAAGAUCACAGGGAAUUCAAAGCAUAUAUUAGAACUUAUCUUUGGCAAAUGGCAGGGCAAAGUUACCACUUAUCAUUAGUCACAUUGAACAUGAAUGGCCUGAACUGUCCAGUUAAAAGACACCGAUUGGCUGAUUGGGUUAAGGAACAAAACCCAUCUAUUUGCUGCUUACAAGAAACUCAUCUUUCCAACAAAGAUCCAUACAGACUGAAAGUGAAAGGCUGGAAAAAGAUAUACCAUGCCAACAGAAAUGAAAAAAGAGCGGGCGUAGCCAUCUUAAUAUCAGACACCAUAAACUUUACCACAAAAACCGUUAAGAGAGACAAAGAGGGACACUACAUAAUGAUUAAGGGAUCAAUUCAACAGGAAGAUAUAACAAUUAUCAAUGUAUAUGCACCUAACUACAGGGCACCGGUUUAUCUAAAAGAUUUGUUAACGGACUUAAAGGGAGACUUAGACCCCAAUACAAUAGUACUGGGGGACUUCAAUACUCCACUCUCAGAAAUAGACAGAUCAAUAGGACAGAAGAUCAACAAGGAUACAGCAGAUUUAAACGACA